CAGCAGCCACGGUAAUACAGAGGGUGCGAGCGUUAAUCGGAUUUACUGGGCGUAAAGCGUGCGUAGGCGGCUUCUUAAGUCGGAUGUGAAAUCCCUGAGCUUAACUUAGGAAUUGCAUUCGAUACUGGGAAGCUAGAGUAUGGGAGAGGAUGGUAGAAUUCCAGGUGUAGCGGUGAAAUGCGUAGAGAUCUGGAGGAAUACCGAUGGCGAAGGCAGCCAUCUGGCCUAAUACUGACGCUGAGGUAUGAAAGCAUGGGGAGCAAACAGGAUUAGAUACCCGUGUAGUCCCUGUCUCUUAUAC
rnacentral:rRNA from 1 species